AUACGGAGGGAGCGAGCGUUAAUCGGAAUUACUGGGCGUAAAGCGCGCGUAGGCGGCUUUGUAAGUCGGAUGUGAAAGCCCUGGGCUCAACCUGGGAAUGGCAUUCGAUACUGCAGAGCUAGAGUAUGGUAGAGGGAAGUGGAAUUUCCGGUGUAGCGGUGAAAUGCGUAGAUAUCGGAAGGAACACCAGUGGCGAAGGCGACUUCCUGGGCCAAUACUGACGCUCAGGUGCGAUAGCGUGGGUAGCGAACAGGAUUAGAAACCCCAGUAGUCC
rnacentral:rRNA from 1 species